rnacentral:rRNA from 1 species
UGGGGAAUCUUCCGCAAUGGACGAAAGUCUGACGGAGCAACGCCGCGUGAGUGAAGACGGCCUUCGGGUUGUAAAGCUCUGUUAUUCGGGAAGAACGAUUCGUUUGUGAACAAUGAACGGAAGUACGGUACCGAAAGAGAAAGCCACGGCUAACUACGUGCCAGCAGCCGCGGUAAUACGUAGGUGGCAAGCGUUGUCCGGAAUUAUUGGGCGUAAAGAGCGCGUAGGCGGUAUGGUAAGUCUGUCUUAGAAGUGCGGGGCUUAACCCCGUGAGGGGACAGAGACUGUCAUACUGGAGUCUCGGAGAGGAAAGCGGAAUUCCUAGUGUAGCGGUGAAAUGCGUGGAGAUUAGGAAGAACACCGGUGGCGAAGGCGGCUUUCUGGACGAGCACUGACGCUGAGGCGCGAAAGCGUGGGGAGCGAACAGG